CUGUGAGCUCGAUGAGUAGGGCGGGACACGUGGUAUCCUGUCUGAAUAUGGGGGGACCAUCCUCCAAGGCUAAAUACUCCUGACUGACCGAUAGUGAACCAGUACCGUGAGGGAAAGGCGAAAAGAACCCCGGCGAGGGGAGUGAAAAAGAACCUGAAACCGUGUACGUACAAGCAGUGGGAGCACGCUUAGGCGUGUGACUGCGUACCUUUUGUAUAAUGGGUCAGCGACUUAUAUUCUGUAGCAAGGUUAACCGAAUAGGGGAGCCGAAGGGAAACCGAGUCUUAACUGGGCGUUAAGUUGCAGGGUAUAGACCCGAAACCCGGUGAUCUAGCCAUGGGCAGGUUGAAGGUUGGGUAACACUAACUGGAGGACCGAACCGACUAAUGUUGAAAAAUUAGCGGAUGACUUGUGGCUGGGGGUGAAAGGCCAAUCAAACCGGGAGAUAGCUGGUUCUCCCCGAAAGCUAUUUAGGUAGCGCCUCGUGAAUUCAUCUCCGGGGGUAGAGCACUGUUUCGGCAAGGGGGUCAUCCCGACUUACCAACCCGAUGCAAACUGCGAAUACCGGAGAAUGUUAUCACGGGAGACACACGGCGGGUGCUAACGUCCGUCGUGAAGAGGGAAACAACCCAGACCGCCAGCUAAGGUCCCAAAGUCAUGGUUAAGUGGGAAACGAUGUGGGAAGGCCCAGACAGCCAGGAUGUUGGCUUAGAAGCAGCCAUCAUUUAAAGAAAGCGUAAUAGCUCACUGGUCGAGUCGGCCUGCGCGGAAGAUGUAACGGGGCUAAACCAUGCACCGAAGCUGCGGCAGCGACGCUGAUGCGUUGUUGGGUAGGGGAGCGUUCUGUAAGCCUGCGAAGGUGUGCUGUGAGGCAUGCUGGAGGUAUCAGAAGUGCGAAUGCUGACAUAAGUAACGAUAAAGCGGGUGAAAAGCCCGCUCGCCGGAAGACCAAGGGUUCCUGUCCAACGUUAAUCGGGGCAGGGUGAGUCGACCCCUAAGGCGAGGCCGAAAGGCGUAGUCGAUGGGAAACAGGUUAAUAUUCCUGUACUUGGUGUUACUGCGAAGGGGGGACGGAGAAGGCUAUGUUGGCCGGGCGACGGUUGUCCCGGUUUAAGCGUGUAGGCUGGUUUUCCAGGCAAAUCCGGAAAAUCAAGGCUGAGGCGUGAUGACGAGGCACUACGGUGCUGAAGCAACAAAUGCCCUGCUUCCAGGAAAAGCCUCUAAGCAUCAGGUAACAUCAAAUCGUACCCCAAACCGACACAGGUGGUCAGGUAGAGAAUACCAAGGCGCUUGAGAGAACUCGGGUGAAGGAACUAGGCAAAAUGGUGCCGUAACUUCGGGAGAAGGCACGCUGAUAUGUAGGUGAAGUCCCUCGCGGAUGGAGCUGAAAUCAGUCGAAGAUACCAGCUGGCUGCAACUGUUUAUUAAAAACACAGCACUGUGCAAACACGAAAGUGGACGUAUACGGUGUGACGCCUGCCCGGUGCCGGAAGGUUAAUUGAUGGGGU
rnacentral:rRNA from 1 species